rnacentral:tRNA from 1 species
ACUUGAAUAGUUUAUCUUAAAAUAUUGAUUUGUGGGGUCAAUGAUGUGUAUUUUACUUCAGGUU